UAGCAUUCACCGCGAUUUUCGGCGUAUUUCAUGGUGAAACAUAAGUUCACAGAUUAUUCCGUGAACGCGGUGGUGUUGAUGAUGUUAGGGUCGAUUAUCUUAGGGUUACACAUGAAUAGAGAUCGUCCGAUAGGUGAAUCGAAUCAACGAUACAUGUUAGGGUUUGUGAUGACACUUGUUGGUGCGGCUGUUCAUGGAUUUGUAAAUGCAGGAGUUGAGUAUAGUCAUGUUAAAGCUGGAGUUGUUGUCACGUUUGAUCUUGUCAUGCAAAUGCAAUUUGUUAUAUCAAUGUUCUCAACUUUGUUUUGUAUCGUCGCAAUGAUUAUCAACAAAGAUUUUCAGGUAACCGCCUCUUUUUAAAGUUUAAGAAGUUAGAAAAAAAUUACUUUUAGGCAUGUAAAUAGUCAUAGUAACGUACGAUAUCCAUUUUAUUUUAGCAUUUUACGUAUAUAAACUAGUAAAUUAGAAGUAUGCAUAGAUUUUAUAUUACAAGUGUAAUUUAAUCUACAAUAACAUGUUAUUUAUCUUAUAUGAGAAAUUAAAUAGUCUAGCAAAGGAAACAUUAUAUUACAAAUUUUAAAGUAGUUAAAAGAAUUUAAAUUCAUAAAAGUCGUGAAAACACUAUAUAAAGUAAUAUAAUUGCUUCGUUCUGCUUUAUGUUAUAGUUUGAAUCGACCAUGAUGACGGAACUUACCAAAGAAAUGAAGAUUUCUAAAAGGAAAAAAGAAGAAAGAAAGAAUUAGAGUUAACAAUGACAUGAACUUUCUUUCUCUUAAAAAAAAACUUCUUUUUUUUGAGUGGAAAGAAAAAAAAGCUUCCUUUUCAAAAGAUAACUAAGCAGUGUCAAUGACAUGAACUUUUUUUAUUUUCAGAGUGAAAAAGAAAUUUUAAGUAAUUAUUUUCAAAGAUAAUAAAGGGGAUAUGUUCAAGCAUGAGCCAUUUAUCUUUCUUUUUAGUCCGUUUAUACAAAAUAUCUUCUCUCUAUAUUUAGUAAUUCUUUAAUUAAUUCCAAUAUUUUACAUGACUUUUUUUAAAAUUAUAAGAUUCAAAGGAAAUUUUUGAUAUAUUACAUAUAUGCCUGCAUCUCCAAUUUAAGACCACAAAAUUAAAAGAUUUCUUUUUAGUUUUCUAAAACUUCAUGCAUAGUCAAACUACAACGCUUAAAUUAACAUCGAGAAAGUACUUUUUCUUUAAGAGUUUAAGAUAUAUACGUCGUCCAUAUAAAUCAUAUGCACACAACACAUCAGAUCCUCUUCACAUGUUAUAGCAAGUAACCUGCUGUUUUAUUUGCAUGCAAGAUUACAAAUCUCAUAUCUUAAGGAUGUCUGCCGAGCUAUAAAUAUUCUUUGAAUAACCUGACAGUGUAAGGAAAUCUUUUUAACAAUAUGUAGGCCAUCAUUAGAGAAGCUGAAGAAUUUGGAUUAGGGCAAAAAAAGUACUAUAUGAUAUUAGCAUUAACAGCAAUAUCUCUACAAACUAUGAUGAUUGGAAGUCUUGGGAUGAUUUUCUGCUCCUCAGCACUAUUGUUUGGGAUAGUAAAUGCACUUCUAAAUUCCAAAUACAACAAAUAUUUGCUGUCAUUUUCUGCCUGAAAGCUUCAAUUCUGACAAGUGGAUGGCUUUAGCUAUGUGUCUUUGGGGUUUUGUCUUUCUUAUUUCUAUGGAGAAUAUAAAGAUAGCAUGACCAACAAGGUUACAAAAAAUAAACCAUGCUACCCUGCCAGACCAAGUUUGAAUAACAUUAAUGCUACUUUUGUAUUCAGUGGUGUACCCAGAAUUUUAUGUAAGUAAUUUAUUAGUAUUACAACUCUGUCAGUAUGGGAGUUUGGGUCGUCUUGGAUUGUGGAGUUCUUUUAAGACGUUUAUUUUCGAUUGUAAAUUGAUGCAUGUUUAUUUUAAUACUUUUUAAGCGAUGUCAGCAUGUUGAGUAUUUAUAGUGGCGGAGCCAGAAUUUUUUUUAAAAAAAAUUAUGCCAAGGAAAUUUAACAAUUACUUAUAUAUAUUAUAUGCAAAAAAGAUAAAAUAAAUAAUUUUUAGGGCAAACCACAUAAAUCUCACUAGUUUAGGUCUUAAUUAUUAAGAUUCCCAAUAGUUUCAAAUAUUACUUCAUGUACCAUAUUUUAUGCUUGAAUCAAUGAGAUACAUGUAUCUGCCGAAUUUUAAAAUUGAGAUACAAAAUUUAUUUAUUUAAAUUAAUUGUUUGGAACUAAUUUCCUUAAUUAGAGGAGUAAUUGAGGAUUUUCAAAAUACAUAGAUAAUUAAUUUCAUUUUAUUAUUCUUUAAAAUAGUAAAUUCAUUAAUAUUAUUAAUAUAAGAUAACAACACAUAUAUCUUGGUAAUGCGAUUUGAUUAAUUUCAAAUUAUUACUCUUAAAAUAAUAAAUUCAUUAAUUUGAUGUAUCUAUUAUCAAUAUAUGAUGUAUCNNNNNNNNNNNNNNNNNNNNNNNNNNNNNNNNNNNNNNNNNNNNNNNNNNNNNNNNNNNNNNNNNNNNNNNNNNNNNNNNNNNNNNNNNNNNNNNNNNNNNNNNCAUAUGUUAUAUCCAAAAACAUGUAUCUCGAAUACAUAAUAAGCAUAUACAUUUAAUUAUGUGUAUCUAAAUAUGAAAUGUAGCUGAAACACAUGAAUUUAGGAACAAAUCACGACUGUAGAGUAUCUGUCGUAUCAUUAAUAUCAUCGUGUUGUUAAAAAUCAUGUAUCCAAAAUUUAAUGGUGGAUACAUAUACAUGGUCAGACACCCCAUUACUAAAAAUACAACUCAGAUCUUAAUUAAGAUUACUACUUAUUGGAUACACAUGUUUCAAGGGCUAUAUCAAAGUAAUAUUGGUACUACCAAAUCCAUGUCACGGUAACCAAAGAAAGCCUUAGAAGAACACCAACAAACAAAAACUCUCUACAAUACUCCCUUUGAUCCUUUUGCGUUGUGGUAUAACAUAAUCAAAACUAAGAUCCAUUUCUUCCGGAGACAAACAAUCAAGACACACUCUGAAUUAAAGUUUUCUCUGUAGCAGUUACUUUGAUUUGAUCUAGUUAUAAAUGAACAAUACAAAAUAAUAUUUGAGUUCAGGAGAAUUUGUCGGCCAUGGUGAUGAUAUCUUGAGAAGAAGAGAGUAGAUUAGCUUUGUUGGAAUGAAAUUGUACAAUGAAAUUCUUGAAUCAUAAAGGAGGAGACAUAAUUGAAUGAUAAAUAUGGGAGGGGAGAAUUAAGAGAUAGUGGUUGAUUUGGAGUGAAAGAGUUAAUUAAGCAGAUAAUUAAUCAAUCCUAAUUUUAAGAUAUGUGGGUAUCUAAUAAUCUAAUUGUAUCUUCAAAUAAUAUAUUAAUAUAUGGUAUAAAAUAUUAAAAGUGGUAAUAUAUGUAAUUGUUUGAAAGUAAAGAUAAUAUUAGUAUAUAUAGUAGUGAUGUAUGUCUAAUAAGGUAGUUUAUCCUAAUUUUUACCCUAUUUACCUGCAUAUAUAGUACAAUUUUUCAACAAAGAAGCUUCGACCCCUAUGCCCAAUAUGUAAAUAUAUGUUAUGAGUGUAUAUAUAUUAUCGAAGGCGGAGCUACAGUAUUAGAUACUAUACUAGCUAGUUUCAUGUUUAUUUCUAACUUGGUCAUCAAAUGUUUUAUGUAUUGCUUUAGUUCAAGCAACAAAUUGUAUUUAAUGCUCUUUCGUUACAUGAUUUCUUCUUCAUAUAAAUAUAUAUAGAAUCUAUGAAGUAGAUUUUGUGCUAUAAUCCUUCCUAUUUGAUAGAAAAGGAUCCCAUGAUCCUGAACUGAUCUUACCUGGGGUUGCAAAUUCCAAGUUUGUCUAUGAAGAGCAGAUUUAAUUAUAUUAGUGUCUAUAAUUAAUUUCUUUUGUGUAAUAUUAAUUGAUAAGUGUAUAUUUUAUAAAUAAUUAUAUAUUAUAUCAAUCCCUCCGUCUCAUGUUAGAUGUACAUCUUACUGAAAAUAUUUGUCUCGUAUUACUUGAUCACUUACUAAAUCAAAAUAGAAUUAAUUAAAUUUUCUCGUUUUACCCUUACAAUUAAUAUGACUUUUGGAAGUUUAAACAAAUUUUAAAGAUUUAAUUUUUUAAGAGUCUAAUUAAUAUGAACAAAGGACAAAAUAGUAAAAUUGAUCAAUCUAUUAUUGAUUUCUUAAUCACCAUGUUAAAUAGAAAUCGUUCAUCUAAUAUAAAACAAAUGGAAUAUUAUAUAAAUAUAAUGUAUAACCAAAUAUAUAUGAUGUAUGAUUAAUAAAUUAUGUAUUGCUGAUGUAUAUAUACAUCCAUCCUGGUUUUAAAAAAAAAUAUUUAUCACUAUAUGGUGGUGAGACCUCUAUAUUGAUGAAUAAAAUUGCCAAGCUAAGGAGAGCUUAAGCUCGACCCAUUGUUCCAGUAGUUGCUUAGCAAAAACUAAGAUUCUGAUAAAAACUAUACUAAUUUGGGACAAAUUUACAAGUCCAGCAUAGUAGACAAAAUUAGCUAUAACAUUUUAACUGGAUCAGUUCUAUACAAAAUAAUUCUUCCUCUGCUUAUACCUUAGAGACUCCACUUGUAUGAGAUCAAGUUUGUAAGAUCCGAUGGCUAUCGAUGGUAGGUGAGCCUAUGCAAAAAUCAUCCUGGGUCAAUGUAACUACACUCCUGAUGAGUUGGUACUUGAAGUUUCACCUUAUCGGUAAAAAAAUAAUUUUCCAUCUUGUAAUUCAAUGCCCUUUCCUAUUUUCCCAACCACAAUAAAUAAGUAAAGUAGUAGAAGAAAAAAUCAUUAUCUGGAUUACAUGGUGAGGCAAAUUAAAGGAAAAAUUAAGCUUAAGAAUUACACAACUUAUUUAGAAUCGCAAUCAAGUAAACAUCACUUUUUUCAUAUGCUUGAAAUUGAUCCAUAAUAGUAGGGGUGUGUAUUGAUCGGUUCGAUUUUAUAUAUUAUUGGUUCGGUUUAUUGGUUUUCAAUUUUUAAAUACGUUAAAUUAACCAAUAACUAAACCGAUAUUUCUUAUCGAUUUUGAUCCUUAACAGUUCGAUUUUCGAUUUAACCAAUAAGAAAAUACUUAUAAAACAAAUAUAUGACUUCUUUAAUAAAUUUGACGCGACAACACAAUAAUGUAACUUUACAAAUGCUCAUAAAAUAGAAACAAUAAUAAAAACAUGAAAAGAACUAUACAAGUGUAACACAAAGAGUAAUUAAGAGGAAUGUUUGGUUCUUACUUUAAUUAGGUUUUGACAUUUUGUAAAAUGUGAAGUUGUGAACCUAAAGUCACUGUGACGUGUGAAUUGAAGGCUAAAGGACAAAGAAAUAACUAGUAAGAUAUUGAAUUGAUAUUUAAUAUUUAUGUACAAGUAAAAGUAGUAAAUUACUAGUCUUAAUGGGUUAUUGGUUUACCCAAUAAUCCAAUAUUAAAAAUCAAUACCAAAUCGAUAAUCCAAGUUUUUUCUUCUAUAAAACCAUUAAAAACUCGUUAAUCCAAUAAUACAUUUUCAAUUCGAUUUAUCAAUCGAUUCAAUUUUCCACCAAUAGCGUAAAUUUCUUUUUCAUAUGGCACCUUAGUGCUUGUCCACUUUUUCACAAAUGACAAAAAAAAAAAUCCAAAUAUAAGUUUUAAAAAAUAGGGCAAUCCAAAAUAUCAUAACAAUAGCAAUAAGCAUUAUUGACUUCAUUUUUGCUUUUGACAAAAAGUAGAUUCAUCAUUAAACACUUCUACCUUUCAUUAAUUUCAAGAAUCAAUUAUGCUUUUGUAUAUCAAUAUUAAAUUCGUAAGUAUAGUUUGAAUAAUUUUUAUUAAAAAUGCUAAUUAAGCCAAACAAUCAUAUGAUGUUACAUUGCCUUAUUACUAGGAUACUCUACUUUUCUUCCUACACAAUAAUGUUAGUAGCUUGUGCAACAACUAGAAUCUCUAUUCUACAAUAAUAAUAAUAAUAAUAAUAAUCCUUUUUUGGACUUCCAAUAUUGACAUCCUCGUGGAUUUAAUUUAUACAUAUACUAUAUUAUCAACGAUGGCGGUGAAAUGGAUAGAAUAUAGUCUACUCUUAACUAAAGGAGCAAAAUCGAAGGAUCUUAUUCCACCUUAUUCUUCACUAUUCUUAAUUAAUAAUCUCAAAUUUGAGUCUAAAAAUGGAAAAGUUUAUGCUAGAGAGCACUUACCUUAGACCUCUGAUUAAGGAUGGAACAGUCUCACCACUGCAACACAACCCUUGUUGGUAUGUUUAAGUGUUAAUUAAAAUAAGUAAUAAUAUGAAGUUAAAAUUUGAAAUAGUUAUUAGAAAAUACUUUCAUAAAAAAAUAAAUGAUUCUCGUCGUACCAAAUACUAGAAAACAAUUUCCUUAAAAAACAUUUUCCCUCAAAAGACAAAUACACCUCAAUCUAAAGUCACUUUAAUUUCCUCUUUGGCUUAUAUGUACCACUAAUAAAUAUACCCCCACAAAUUAAUAUCUCUCAAACACAUUCACAAAAAAUAUGGACAUGGAAAUUGAGCAAGAGGGCAACUACAAUAAGCCUAAGAAACUCAAGAAUUUCAUGUCAAUUAAAACACUUCUUAUUCUCAUAUAUUGUAUCUUCCUUUUAGUUGGCCAAAUAUCAGGUGUAUUGCUUGUUAGAAUUUAUUAUUUACAUGGUGGAAAAAGAAAAUGGUUGCAAUCUUUAUUGCUAACAGCAGGAUUCCCAAUCUUGAUUUUACCAAUUUCAAUUUCUUAUAUGAAAAAAAUGAAAAAAAUUACUAUCAACAAUAAUAAUAUUAGACUUUUUGUCACACCUAAAUUAGCAAUAUUUAGUGCUAUUUUAGGUAUCCUUUUUGGUAUUUGUAGCUACCUCUACACUAUUGGCAUGUCAUAUCUUCCCGUUUCGAUUUCCUCUCUCCUCUCUUCAACGUCCCUUGCAUUUACCGCGAUUUUCGCGUAUUUCAUGGUAAAACAUAAGUUCACACAUUAUUCGGUGAACGCGGUGGUCUUGAUGAUGCUAGGUUCGAUUAUAUUAGGGUUGCACAUGAAUGGAGAUCGUCCGAUAGGUGAAUCGAAUCGGCAAUACACGUUAGGGUUUGUGAUGACAAUUAUUGGUGCUGCUCUUCAUGGAUUUUUAAAUGCAGGAGUUGAGUAUAGUCAUGUUAAAGCUGGAGUUGUUGUCACCUUUGAUCUUGUCAUGCAAAUACAGUUUCUUAUAUCCAUGUUCUCAUCUUUGUUUUGUAUCGUUGCCAUAAUUAUCAACAGAGAUUUUCAGGUAAUCGUCUCAUUCAAAAGUUUAAGCAGUUAAAAAAGAAUUAUAGAUAGUCAUAGUAACGUACGUACGAUAUCCAUUUUAUUUUAGCUUUUUACUUAUAUAAACUAGUAAAUAAGAAGUAUAUAUAAAUUUUAUAUUACUGGUGUAAUUUAAUCUACUAUAACAUGUUAUUUAUCUUAUAUGAGAAAUUAAAUAGUCUAGCAAAGGAAACAUUAUAUUACAAUUUUAAAAAUAGAUAAAAGAAUUUAAAUUCAUAAAAAUCGUGAAAAAAAUAAUAUAAUUGAUUUGUUCUGUUUUAUGCGAUAUAGUUUGAAUUGACCAUGAUGACAAAACUUACCAAAGAAAUGAAGAUUUCUAAAAGGAAAAAAGAAGAAAGAAUUCGAGUUAACAAUGACAUGAACUUUCUUUCUCUUUAUAAGAGUGAAAAAAAGCCUCCUUUUCAAAAGAUAAUCAAGCAGCGUCAAUGACAAGAACUUUUUUAUUUACAAGAGUGAAAAUGAAAUUUUAUGUUAUUAUAAAGGGGAUAUGUUCAAGCGUGAGCGAUUUAUCUUUCUUUUUAGUCCGUUUAUACAAAAUAUCUUCUUCUCUAUAUUUAAUAAUUCUUUAAUAUCUAAUAUUUUACAUGAUUUUUUAAAAAUCAUAAGAUUUAAAGGGCAUUUUUGAUACAUUACAUAUAUGCCUGCAUCUUUAAUUUAAGACUACAAAAUUAAAAGAUCUCUUUUUCAUUUUCUAAAACUUCAUGCAUAGUCAAACUACGACACUUAAAUUAGCAUCGAGAAAGUACUUUUUCUUUAAGAGUUUAAGAUAUAUACGUCGUCCAUAUAAAUCAUAUGCACACAACACAUCAGAUUCUCUUCACAUGUUAUAGCAGGUAACCUGCUAUUUUAUUUGCAUGCAAGAUUACAAAUCUCAUAUCUUAAGGAUGUCUGCCGAUCUAUAAAUAUUCUUUGAAUAACCUGACAGUGUAAGAAAAUCUUUUUAACAAUAUGUAGGCCAUCACUAGAGAAGCUGAAGAAUUUGGAUUAGGGCAAAAAAAGUACUAUAUGAUAUUAGCAUUAACAGCAAUAUCUCUACAAACUAUGAUGAUUGGAAGUCUUGGGAUGAUUUUCUGCUCCUCAGCACUAUUGUUUGGGAUAGUAAAUGCACUUCUAAUUCCAAUACAACAAAUAUUUGCUGUCAUUUUCUUGCCUGAAAGCUUCAAUUCUGACAAGUGGAUGGCUUUAGCUAUGUGUCUUUGGGGUUUUGCUUCUUAUUUCUAUGGAGAAUAUAAAGAUAGCAUGACCAACAAGGUUACAAAAAAUAAACAUGCUACCCUGCCAGACCAAGUUUGAAUAACAUUAAUGUUACUUUUUCUGUAUGUAUUCAGUGAUGUACGCAUAAUUUAAUGUAUGUAAUAUAUUAGUAUUACAACUCUGGCAGUAUGAGAAUUUGGGUCGUCUUGGAUCGUGGAGUUCUUAUAAGACGUUUAUUUUUCGAUUGUAAAUUGAUGCAUGUUUAUUUUGAUUACUUUUUAAGCGAUGUCAGUAUGUUGAGUAUUUAUAGUAGCGGAGCCAGGAAUUUUUUAAAAAAAAUUUAUGCCAAGAAAAUUUAACAACUUAUAUAUUAUUUGCAAAAAGAUAACAAAUAAAUCAUCUUUACCCUAUUUAAAUGCAUAGUACAAUUUUUCAACUUCGACCCCUUUGCCUCUGCCCGGUAUGUGAAUAUAUGUUAUGUACAUGUAUAUAUAUAUUAUCGAAGGCGGAGCUACAGUAUUAGAUACUAUACUAAAACAUAGUACUAGCUAGUUUCAUUUUUAUUUCUAACUUGGUCAUCAAAUGUUUUAUGUAUUGCUUUAGUUCAAGCAACAAAUUGUAUUUCAUGCUCUUUAUUCGUUACAUGAUUUCUUCUUUGUAUAGAUAUAUAUAUAGAAUCUAUGAAGUAUAUUUUGUGCUAUAGCCCCUCCUAUCUGAUAGAAAAGGAUCCCAUAAUCCUGAACCGAUCUUAUAUGGGGUUAUAAAUCCCAAGUUUGUCUAUGAAGAGAGGAUCUAAUUGUAUUAGUGUCUAUAAAUGAUUUCUUCUGUGUAAUAUAUACUAAUUGAUAAGACCUCAUUGAUAAGUGUAUAUUUUAUAAAUAAUUAUAUACUAUAUCAAUAAUCCCUCUGUCCCAUGUUAGAUGAUGGUCAUCUUACUGAAAAUAUUUGUCUCAUAUUACUUGAUCACUUACUAAAUAAAAAUAAAAUUAAUAAAAUUUUCUCGUUUUACCCCUAUAAUUAAUAUGACUUUUGGAAGUUUAAACAAAUUUUAAAGAUCUAAUUUUUUAAGAGUCUAAUUAAUAUGAACAAAGGACAAAAUAGUAAAAUUGAUCAAUCUAUUAUUGAUUUCUUAAUCACCAUGUUAAAUAGAAAUCGUUCAUCUAAUAUAAAACAAAUGGAAUAUUAUAUAAAUAUAAUGUAUAACCAAAUAUAUAUGAUGUAUAAUUAAUAAAUUAUGUAUUGCUGAUGUAUAUAUACAUCCAUCCUGGUUUUUUUAAAAAAUAUUUAUCACCAUAUGGUGGUGAGACCUCUAUAUUGAUGAAUAAAAUUGUCAAGCUAAGGAGAGCUUAAGCUCGAUCCAUUGUUCCAGUAAUUGCUUAGCAAAAACUAAGAUUCUGAUAAAGACUAUAUUCAAGUUUCAACAGUUAGGGCUUUUGGCCCUAAUUUCUUUUAUUCAUUUAUAUAUUUCUAUUAUUUUCUUUUUCUAUUAUUAUUAGCAACAAAAUAAUCCUUUAUUAAAUCUGAAAAUCGUGUCUCUUAUUCUUAUAAGCCAUAAAUUAUUUAUAAAAGCUACCAAAAAGGGUUAAUAUAAAAAUAAGGGAAAGGGGUCAAAAAUACCCCUCAACUUUGGUUUAUUGUUUGACUACGCCCUCGCCGUUAAAAUGAAGUUAUUUUUACCCCUCCCGUUACUAAUUUCACCAAAUUUACCCCUCAAUUGGAUGGAAAACCCAAAUCAAUUAAAAUUACCCAAUUUCAAUUAAAUAACCCAAUUUUUUCUCUUUUUAAUCCAAACCCGACCCAUUUAUACCAAAUUAAACCCCCAAAUCAAGCUCCGGCAAUCGCCAUUCAUUUUCUCCGUUUUCCGGCGAAACACCACCAAAACAACCUCCAAACGACCACCUGAAACCACCACUAAAAACCCCCAAGAACCAGAAACGACAUCAAGCAAAAAACAUUAACAACAAACCCAUUUUCCUCUACUUUCCAUUGACGACAACAAGAUCUUUCUUCUCCAUUUCCGGCCAGUUUCAAGCUGGAACAACAUUAAGCAAAUUACCCACCGUCGGAAUCAUUCAAACAGCCGUGAAACCGACCUGAAACAGCUCUCAAACACCACUCUCUCCACGCCAAAAUCGUAACAGAUCAAACCAACAACACAAUCAGGCGAGAAUCAAGGCUCGAAAACAACAGCCACAACUUCAUAUCUGGCUAGGCUCAACAAGCAAGCAAUAUCAUAGUUUCAGAUCUGCCCGCAGGAAAGCAAAAUCCGAUGAUUGAACGAGCUCCAAGCUCCGAAUAGUGGUGCAAUUUUAGUAGGAAGGACAAAUAUGCAUUAGUUUAACUACAAAAUAUUUGUUGUCAAUUUUAGUAGUAUGUGUUUCAAUGGAAGAAGGAGAUGGAGAAGAUUAGAGAGAUGGGUUUAGGGUUCUAAUUUGAUAUAAAUGGGUCGGUUUGGAUUAAAAGAGAAAAUCGGGUCAUUUACUUGAAAUUGGGUAAUUUUAGUUGAUUUGGAUUUUUCAUCCAAUUGAGGGCAAAGGGUCAAAAAUACCCCUCAACUUUGGUUUAUUGUUUGACUACGCCCUCGCCGUUAAAAUGAAGUUAUUUUUACCCCUCCCGUUACUAAUUUCACCAAAUUUACCCCUCAAUUGGAUGGAAAACCCCAAAUUGACUCAGUUUAACCCAAAUUUUAAAAAAAGACCCAUUCCCCAUUUUAAACCCAAUGCCCGACCCAUCCAAAGUUGAGGGGUAUUUUUGACCCUUUUCCCUAAAAAUAAUGGUUAAAAUUAUAAAACGACUAAGAGGGUCGUUACAAUCUAUAUUUUAAUGUUUGUUCUAUUAUAAUUAAUAUUUAUCUAACACGUAUUUAACUUAUCAGAUUGAAUGCUUAUUUACCUUUUUAAACCCAUUUUGUCAGCCUUAUCUUAUAAACUUUGUUUUCUCUAAAAAGAACAAAAUAAAGAGAGAAAGAUAAGAACGUAAUGUUAUGUCGAUAUACAGAUUGUUAUUGUCUUUCAUGUGCUUUAAUAAUUGGAAAAAAUUACGUAAUUACAUGAUUUUAGAUACCAUAAUUUUUGAAAAUUUCUACCAUUUGAAUUAAUUAUAAAACUUCUAUUUUUCCUUCUCUCUUUUAAUAUUCGGAUACAAUACUCUGCCUCUAUAUACAUUACAACUUUGUUUUUGUACAAUAUAUUUCACACAAAUAUUAUUGUCGAUACAUAACUUCAAUCAUUUUAAAUCUAAAUCAGUAUGAAUUUGAUUUAUAGUUAUGUAUCUGAUACAUAACUUAUAUAUCGUUUGCUAUAUAUCGAACUGAUGAGUAAUGUAUCCGCAAGUUUUGAAAAUUUCGAGAUUAUUGUAAUUUGAGAAAUUUUUGUGAUAGAAUGUAAUUAACACCAUUGUUGGGGUUUAUGUACUUCAUACCUAAUAAUUUCAAACAUGACUUGGCUUGUUUCAAUUUUGAAUAAUCUCGUUUUCUUUUCACCAACAAAAGUUAGAAAUCAAAUUAAAAACAAAACUUUUUGUUUGAAUAUUCCAAAUAUGUAUGAAGAAGUUGUCACCAAGCUAAGAUUGCUAAGUGCGCACCAGCGUCAAUUAUGCAUGUUAUGUACGUUUGAAUAUAAUUUUUUUUAUUUAAUCAUGACUAAAUUAACAUAUGUUUUUACUUUAUUAAAUCACUUGCUCAUGAUGAGUUGUAUUAUCGUCUAUAUAUUAUUUACUUAUCCUAAAUUUAAUUAGUUUUCAAAUGAUGGUUGGUUUACAAUCAACAACCGUAAAAGUGGCUAUUUGUUAAAAUUAUCCAAAAUGCGUAAAGCCCAGAAACUAAGAGCAUUAUAACAUGAAGUUUACAAUCAUAGAGGCCCAAAAUCAGGAUUCUAAUGGGCCACGGCCCAUAUAAAUGGUGGAUAAGCCCAAAUAGUUAAGAGGGGUGGAUGAACACAAUUUUAAACCAACAAACUAUUUUUCUUCAAUGUUUUUAAAUUAUAAUUGCUUUAGGUUGUACUCAAAAUUUACCUUUUAACACACUUAGUUUCAACAUAAUCCGUUCAAAAUUUUAUGAGUUUCACUUAUAUAAACUAACUUUGUUAUCAAUAGGCCAACAAAACACACAAAGAUAGUCUCUUCACGAAAAAUAUUUUUUUCAUGAAUAAUAUUUUUCAAUAGGAUAACUUUCGUCAUAUCGAGCACUUGUUAGUGACAUUGAAUAUGUGUUCAAAUUAUAACAAACCGUCAUUACAAAACCAUAAUACUCCAUAACCUAUCAAAUGGGUUGGGUCAAAACGAGUUAGGUAGUAGCUUAUAUAACGGGUCAAACCCAAUCCAAUUUAAUUUUUACCAAACUUAAUUAUUUUAUUUGUUUUUAAAACUAUUUUAGUACAUAGUAAAAUUAUUGUUUUCUUUUAUUACAGUUAUAAAUGACAUAUCGAAUUGAAAAAAAAAAUUAAAAAUAUUUUGACUAGAUUUCUCAUGAGUCAAUUUGGUUUACAUAUCAACUCAAUUUUUAAUGAAUUGAGCUAAUGAACGGAUGAGUUAAUAACCCACCCAAACUUAACGGAACGAGCAGGUUGGGUUUCAUUUGUCACCCCUACCUAUAGGCUAAAUAUACCGUAUCAAUACAUUACUUAGACAUGCGGCCAUUUUAAAAAGUAAAAGUUUUUUUUAUCACCUGUAAAAUAUUAGGCAAUAUUUGAAGGUAAUAUAGUUUCAAAAUAAAUACAAUACAUUUCAUACAUAUAAAAAAUCAACACAUUUGUUAAAUGAAGAUUAAAUAUAUAUGCUUAUCUAAAUAUCAUAAGAAACAAAACAAGAAUUUACUAAUAAUUAUCAUUAUAUUAUAUUUAGUGGCAAUAAUAACUAUGAGUAUUUAUAUAAUCAACACUAUAUAUAUGCCGCUAAAAGUUUUAGUGAUUCUAAAUAUAAAGAUAUUAACUCAAUUACUAAAUAUUUAUAUGGUAAUAAAUAUUGUCGUUAAAAAAAUAAUCUAUUACCACAAUAUAUUUCUUUUGUCAGUAUAGUAAUUAAUAAUUGAGUUGAGUGAUCCUUUUUCCACCAGAGAUAAUGACAUGAAUUUAUGCCUAAUUCACAUAAAAAUGAAAAUUCAAUAUUAAAAUGGACAAAUAAAACCUACCCUUUCUCUCUCUGCACCAUAUGCAUACUUUAGAGUUUAAAUCUAUCAACUAUAAAAGUAGGGUGACAAAUAAAUAAAUUGGGUCAAAUUUGAAUGGGUUAGAACGAAUUGAAUUAGAUUACUGAAUGAAUUAUAAUUUAACCUAUUUUGUAAUUGUGCAGUGACAAAAAUAUUUCAAUGAUAUAUAUAUAUAUAUAUUGUAUUGAUGUUGUAUAAAUAGUUAGGUAAUAUAUCGAUAUUGUAUAAAUAAUGUAUAACUUAGUAUAUAUGACUUUUUUCACCACUUAUUUAGUUAUUUAUAAUCAGAAUUACAUCAUUUAUUAUAAUCAGAAUCAAGUAAACAUCGCUUUUUUCAUAUGCUUGAAAAUGAUCCAUACUAGCUAGUGUGAAUUUUCUUUUUAUACGGCACCUUAGUGCUUGUCCACUUUUUCAUGAUUGACAAAAAAAACAAUACUUCCAAAUAUAGUUUUAAAAAGGAAGAAAAUAGGGUAAUCCAAUUAAAUAUCAUAAGUCAUAAUAAUAACAAUUAUAUGCAUUAUUGGCUUCAUUUUUAAUUUUGACAUAAAGUAGAUAUAACUUUAAGCGCUUUUAGCUUUCAUUAAAUUCAAGAAUCAAUUAAUUAACAAUGCUUUUGCAUAUCAAUUUUGAAUUCAUAAGUAUAGUUUGAAAUACUUUUACUCCCUUUAUUUCUAUUUACAUGUCGUCCUUAAUAAAAAUAGGUGUUUCUUAAUAUUUGUUAUUUAAUUAAGACAAUGCAUAAAUGAAACUAUUCUUUCUAUUUUAUCCUUGAGAGUUAUUAGCCUUGAAAAUAUGCAUUUCACCAAUAUAGGAAAAACUAAGUAAAUAAUUCAUGUAUAUUGGUCAAAUUAAUUAAUCAAAAUAAAUAUAUUCAUGUUCAUUGAUUGAAAACUUGACUUUAAGAUAACACUAAAUAAGGUACGUGAAAUCUAAAAUAAUGAUAGCUAAAUUGGAAUGGAGAAAGUAUUAAAGAGGCAAAGUCACAUGAUCAUAUGAUGUUAAAUUGCCUUAUUACUAGGAUACUCUACUUUUCUUCCUUUACAAUGUUAAUGGUAUUUGCAACAAAUUUUAAAGCGAAAGAAAAUAAAUUACAAUCACAAAUAAAAUAUGAAGAAACAUAAUUUAUUGAUUAAGAUAUGUAAGUACAAUUUUGUUCCUCCCUUAUUCUUCUCUCAUAAGAUAUUUAUCCAUGAUUCGAGAGUUGUUAGUGACAUAUUUUUCGAACUAGGAUGAUUUGAAUUUAAUCUCCUUAUGAAUAUUUCAUGAAUUUGUAGAAUAUUCAUGAUGCCUCUUAAAGGGAAUAUAGUGCCCUUUAUAUAGACAUGAGGUAGGGUUUAAGGUUGAGUAGCCUCCAAGAAUCCUAAUUGAAAUUGAACACACCUUGUAGAAUCUCAACUCGAAUUGAACAUCUUGUAGAGUCCCAUAAAUUUUUAAUGUCUACAAGUGGCUUGUGCAAUAAUUAGUCCCUCUAAUCUAAAAUAAUCAUCAUCUUUGGACUUCCAAAUCUUAUUGACAUCCUCGUAGAUUUAACUUAUAGAUGGAUAAAAUGUCAUCACUUUUACUUAAUAGUCAAGUUCGAGUUAGCAAAAUUUAAUAUGAAUACAAGCAUUUUUAUUUAUGUUCUUAAUAGUAAGCGUUUUCCCCUAGUUUAAUAGAUCUUUUAUCCGGUGAUAAUCAAAAUUAACUGGGCGCAACAAAAUAUAAAAAAGAAAAAAACUUGUGCAUAUACUUAUCGCAUAAAGAAUUAUAUUAUUAUUAUUAUUAUUAUUAUUCUUGUUAUUAUUAUUAUUAUUAUUAUUAUUAUUAAUAAUAAUAAUAAUGUACUUUUGAUGAGAAAUAAUUACUUAUGAAAUUUGAUAAGUAUAUGUCUGUUAGUUAAAGUGAGUAAUAAUAUAUAUUAAGUUUGUUGUGGGAAUAUUGUGGGUUAACUAGGAUACAAUUACAAAUAAAGAAAAUAGAGAGAAGAAAAAUAAUACAAGGAUUUAACGAGGUUUUGGCUAGGCCUAACUUCCUUGAUUAAAACAUUUUGUUCAAAGAAAUUUCCCUCAAAAAGUCAAAUACACCCUAUAUAAAGUCAAAUUAAUACUCCCACCAUUUUUAAAAAAAAAGAUCUAUUUUGACUUGGCAUGAAAUUUAAGAAAAUAAAGAAAAAAUUCCAAUCUUGUGGUCCUAAAUUAAAGUUAUGUCAAAGCCCUUUAAUCUUGUAAUCUUAAAUAUGUCACAUGAAAAAUAUAAGUUAAAAUGUUGCUAAAAAAAUGAAAGUAAGUCAUUCUUUUUUAAACAGAAUAAAAAAAGUAAGUCAUUUUUUUUUUAAACUGAUGGAGUAGCUAGUAGCUUUCCUCUUUGGCUUAAUGGCUUAUAUGUAUCACAUUCAAUAACUUCAUCAAAUGAGAGUCACAUUUCUUGCAACUAGCUCUACCUAGUGCUACUACUAUAAUUAAAUACAUACCCCCCACAAAUACCUCUCAAACACAUCACAAAAAAAUAUGGACAUGGAAAUAGAGCAAGAGGGCAACUAUGAUAAGCCUAAGAAACUCAAGAAUUUCAUGUCAAUUAAGUCACUUCUUAUCCUCAUAUAUUCUAUCUUCUUUUCAAUUGGCCAAAUAUCAGGUGCAUUACUUGUUAGAAUUUACUUCUUACAUGGUGGAAAAAGAAAAUGGUUGCAAUCUUUUUUGCUAACAGCAGGGUUCCCAAUCUUGAUUUUACCAAUUUCAAUUUCUUAUAUAAAAAAAAGAAAAAAAUUUACUACUACUAAUAUCAAUAUUAGAGUUUUUGUCACACCUAAAUUAGCAAUAUUUAGUGCUAUUUUAGGCAUACUUCUUGGUAUUUGUAGCUACCUCUACAACUUUGGCAUGUCUUAUCUCCCCAUUUCGAUUUCUUCUCUCCUUGGUUCAACGUCCCUAGCAUUCACCGCGAUUUUCGCGUAUUUCAUGGUGAAACAUAAGUUCACAGAUUAUUCCGUGAACGCGGUGGUGUUGAUGAUGUUAGGGUCGAUUAUAUUAGGGUUACACAUGAAUAGAGAUCGUCCGAUAGGUGAAUCGAAUCGACAAUACACAUUAGGGUUUGUGAUGACACUUGUUGGUGCGGCUCUUCAUGGAUUUGUAAAUGCAGGAGUGGAGUAUAGUCAUGUUAAAGCUGGAGUUGUUGUCACGUUUGAUCUUGUCAUGCAAAUGCAAUUUCUUAUAUCAAUGUUCUCAGCUUUGUUUUGUAUCGUCGCCAUGAUUAUCAAUAAAGAUUUUCAGGUAACCGUCU
rnacentral:lncRNA from 1 species